UACAAAUCUAAAUAUUGUGUUUAAUUAAAGUUUACAAUCAACUAACGUCACAUGAAUAUCAAAAACAAUAACCUAAAAUUCCCAUGUCAAUAAUCGGAUCAGAUUUCUCAACAAUCAAUUCAAGAACUGGUAAAUUUGGUAACUGCUUUUGUCCCCUCAGAUACGGCAUGCUUUGCAAGUUCUCCGGGAAGCACCAAUCGGACGGCUGUCUGAAUCUCCCUGGACGUGAUCGUCGGCUUCUUGUUAUAUCUGGCCAAUCUUGAUGCCUCUUGAGCAAGCUUCUCGAAAAUAUCAUUAAUAAAACUAUUCAUGAUCCCCAUGGCCUUGCUUGAGAUCCCGAUAUCAGGAUGAACCUGCUUUAACACCUUGAAAAUAUAGAUCUUGUAUGUCUCACUGCUCUUCUUUAUCUUCUUCUUCUUCUUUUCUCCGCCUUCUUUCGAGAUCUUCUUCUCCGCCUUUGGUCUCUUCUCAGCCGAGGCUGGAGAUUUCUCGGCAACUGGCUUCUUCUCCGCCGGCUUCUUCUCCGCCUUGGGCGCCAUUUCUAAUCAAAGAGAAUUCUAGAUUGAGCGAAUAAGAAAAAAGGAAAUCAAUGGAUUUUCUGUUUGUUCGGC
rnacentral:misc_RNA from 1 species